rnacentral:tRNA from 1 species
GCUCCAGUGGCAAUCGGUCAGCGCACGGUACUUAUAAAGCAGUGCUAGUGAAGCUAUGCUGAGGUUGUGAGUUCGAGCCUCACCUGGAGCA